GAAAUGCGAUAAUUAAUGUGAAUUGCAGAAUUCAGUGAAUCAUCGAGUCUUUGAACGCACAUUGCGCCCCCUGGUAUUCCGGGGGGCAUGCCUGUCCGAGCGUCAUUGCUGCCCUCAAGCACGGCUUGUGUGUUGGGCUUCCGUCCCUGGCAACGGGGACGGGCCCAAAAGGCAGUGGCGGCACCAUGUCUGGUCCUCGAGCGUAUGGCUUUGUCACCCGCUCCCGUAGGUCCAGCUGGCAGCUAGCCUCGCAACCAAUCUUUUUAACCAGGUUGACCUCGGAUCAGGUAGGGAUACCCGCUGAACUUAAGC
rnacentral:misc_RNA from 1 species